rnacentral:lncRNA from 1 species
CAAAUAAUAAAAGCAAGGACCUUUGGUAAAUACCUGGACAUAGACAGUGGGCAAAGGAAAAAAAGGAUCUACCCAGAGAGAUCUCCUCCUACAUGGCAGGCGAUGAAGUCUGACAUCUUGGCUACCAAAGUGCUUUAUAAAACAAGAGACUUUGUAUGGCUGGUGGGGCUCCAGAAUAUUUAGAAUAGUAAAUAGAUUUCAAAAAACUGAUGUCCUGCA